UACGUAGGGUGCGAGCGUUGUCCGGAAUUACUGGGCGUAAAGAGCUCGUAGGUGGUUUGUCGCGUUGUUCGUGAAAACUCACAACUCAAUUGUGGGCGUGCGGGCGAUACGGGGCAGACUGGAGUACUGCAGGGGAGACUGGAAUUCCUGGUGUAGCGGUGGAAUGCGCAGAUAUCAGGAGGAACACCGGUGGCGAAAACGGCUCUCUGGGGACGGGUACUGACGCUGAGACGCGAAAGCGUGGGGAGCAAACAGGG
rnacentral:rRNA from 1 species